GUCUCACAAAGGACAACAGGUUGCUUGGAAAAUUUGAUCUAACUAGAAUAGCUCCGAUCCAGCUCCAAGGUAAGGAUAUUAUUUAUUUUCUUCCCAAUAUAAUUAGUGAGAGUUGCCAUUCCAUUCUCUCUCUCAUCUGAAAUUGUAAUGUGUUUUAAUAGAGGAACACCUGAAAUUGAAGUUACAUUUGAAGUUGAUGCUAACGGCAUCCUGAACGUUAAAGCCGAAGACAAGGCCUCUAGGUGAUCUGAGAAGUUUACCAUCACUAACGAUAAAGGCCGCUUGAGCCAAGAAGAAAUUGAGCGGAUGGUGUUACAGUAAAUUUAUUAACAUGUUCAGCUUUGAAUCACCGGAUGAGUUUUCUUCUCUUAGUGUUUGUUGGAGGAAAAAUUGAUUCUAGUAGUAAGCUUAAACAAUGAUAAAAUUUAAGUUUUUGCAUCUGCAUUCCUUGUUUGUUGAAUCUAACCUGCAUAUUUCAUUUGAUUAUUACUGAUUUUAUGCAUUAAUUUGGCAAUGUAUCUUUUGACAGGGAGCUUAUUUGCCUUUUUAAUCGCAAAGGAGGAAGCAUCCAAAUUAGGGACUGUUAUUGGAACAACUUAAUUAUUCCUGUGUUGGAGUUUACAAAGAUGAGCGUGUAGAUCAAGAUCAUAGCCAAUGAGCAAGCCAAGAAUCAACCCUGAGAUCAGAGUACCAUUUUGAUGUAAAGAGGCUUAUUGGAAGAAAGUUUGAAGAAAAAGAAGUGCAAAGGGACAUGAAACUUGUUUGGCAUCUCUGUUUCAUGUAAUCAUCUCUUACUCUCUUUCAGAAGAUAAUGAGAUUAGGGAAUAACUAGUUGAGUUGAAUAUUUGGUAUAUUAAUAUUGUCUUUGUUUUGGUAAUAUAUUGCUCUUUUGGUUAUGCAAUAAUGGUAUUAUGAAUCAUGAUAAGCCCUUUUGUCCUUUCAGGUAAUUAGUCAAGGAGAUAAAAUAAAGUUCUCUAUGCUAUCACCAUCAAAUUAAAGUCAAAGGACUCUUUAUCAACUGAUGCUCCUGGUGUUUCUGUUGAUGAAAGAAAUUUGAUAAUAAAGGCACUUAAUCUUUACAGGAAAAAGACUAGAACAAACAAGAAUUUUUGGAUUCAUCUUGAUAAGAAGGUACCGACUAUACUGGUAAAGGCAAGAUUGCUGUGAAGAUUCUUGACAAAGAUGAGGUCCUUAAGCACAAAAUGGCAGAACAGG